GAGUUGUAAUCUCGAGAAGUGUUUUCCGCGCCGGACCGCAUACAAGUCUGUUGGAAUACAGCGUCAUAGUGGUGAGAGCCCCGUAAUUGAUGCGGAUGCCCGGUGCUUUGUGAUACACUUUCGAAGAGUCGAGUUGUUUGGGAAUGCAGCUCAAAUUGGGUGGUAAAUUCCAUCUAAAGCUAAAUAUUGGCGAGAGACCGAUAGCGAACAAGUACCGUGAGGGAAAGAUGAAAAGCACUUUGGAAAGAGAGUUAACAGUACGUGAAAUUGUUGGAAGGGAAACGCUUGAAGUCAGACUUGCUAUUCGGAAUUCAGCCGCAAGGUGUACUUUUCGAUUUGCAGGCCAGCAUCAGUUUUUGGGGGUGAAAAAGGGUGAAAAGAAGGUAGCAACCUUGGUUGUGUUAUAGCUUUUCGCUGGAUUCAUCUUUGG
rnacentral:rRNA from 1 species